rnacentral:rRNA from 1 species
GAUGAACGCUAGCUACAGGCUUAACACAUGCAAGUCGCGGGACCGGCGCACGGGGGAGUAACGCGUAUCCAACCUGCCCUUCACCACGGGAUAACCCGGCGAAAGUCGGGCUAAUACCGUAUGGUGCAGGGUGGGGAUGCGUCCGAUUAGCUUGACGUCGGGGUAACGGCACCACGUGGGUACGAUCGGUAGGGGUUCUGAGAGGAAGGUCCCCCACACUGGAACUGAGACACGGUCCAGACUCCUACGGGAGGCAGCAGUGAGGAAUAUUGGUCAAUGGGCGUAAGCCUGAACCAGCCAAGUAGCGUGCAGGACGACGGCCUAUGGGUUGUAAACUGCUUUUAUGCGGGGAUAGGUACCGCAUGAAUAAGGACCGGCUAAUUCCGUGCCAGCAGCCGCGGUAAUAC